GACCCAAUAGCUCAGCUGGAUAGAGCGUUUGGCUACGAACCAAAAGGUCGGGGGUUCGAAUCCCUCUUGGGCCACCA
rnacentral:tRNA from 1 species